rnacentral:rRNA from 1 species
CGGUAUACCUGUAGUAAUUCUGGAGCUAAUACGUGCCUUUGUGUGUGCAAUCCUCACGGUGACCACCGCUCUUAUUAGACUAUAGACCAACCCGGGCAACCGGUUAAGUUUAUGGUGACUCUGGAUAAAAUAGUAUGAUCGCAGUCGGCCUUGUGUCGGCGAUGGAUUCAUGAAAUGUCUGCCCUAUCAACUUACGAUGGUAGGUAAUUUGCCUACCAUGGUUAUGACGGGUAACGGGGAAUCAGGGUUCGAUUCCGGAGAGGGAGCCUGAGAAACGGCUACCACAUCCAAGGAAGGCAGCAGGCGCGCAAAUUACUCACUCUCUGAGAGAGGAAGUAGUAAAGACAAAUAUCGAUGCAGGACUCUUUUGAGGCUCUGCAAUCGAAAUGAGUGCAUUUUAAAUCCUUUCACGAGGAUCAACUGGAGGGCAAGUCUGGUGCCAGCAGCCGCGGUAACUCCAGCUCCAGUAGCAUAUAUUAAAGUUGCUGCAGUUAAAAAGCUCGUAGUUGGAUCUGGAUUACGUUCAGUCAGUAUAGUCGGCGUAAGAGGAGGCUUCGGCCAAGUUUUGCGUUUGAUUAUGCUGGCUGGCUAAUCUCAUAGCUGUGUCUAUUCUCAGCCUCGGCUGGGUGUAGGCAGGAGUAGAGUGUUAAGGAGAUCCUUGUGGUUGAAUUGCCUCUGCUUCUGUGUGCCGAAGUAUUCUUUAUUGGGUGCUUUGGUACGGACAGCGCGUUUACUUUGAACAAAUCUGAGUGCUCAAAGCAGGCCUUGUGCCUAAAAAUUCUAGCAUGGAAUAAUGGAAUAGGACUUCGGUCCUAUUUUGUUGGUUUAACAGAACCGAAGUAAUGAUAAACAGAGACAGACGGGGGCAUUUGUAUGGCAGCGCGAGAGGUGAAAUUCGUAGACCGUUGCCAGACAAUCUAAAGCGAAAGCAUCUGCCAAGUAUGUUUUCAUUUACCAGGAGCGAAAGUCAGAGGUUCGAAGACGAUCAGAUACCGUCCUAGUUCUGACCAUAAACGAUGCCAUCUGAUAUUUCGUGGCGACUCCUUACGGAUCCCACGAGCAAUCCCCGGAAAACCUCUAAGUCUUUGGGUUCCGGGGAAAGUAUGGUUGCAAUGCUGAAACUUAAAGGAAUUGACGGAAGGGCACCACCAGGAGUGGAGCUUGCGGCUUAAUUUGACUCAACACGGGAAAACUUACCCGGGCCGGACACUAUGAGGAUUGACAGAUAGAUUGCUCUUUCAUGAUUUGGUGGCUAGUGGUGCAUGGCCGUUCUUAGUUCGUGGUAUGAGCUGUCUGGUUAAUUCCGUUAACGAACGAGAUACUAUUCUGCUAAUUAGUCCGUACGUAUUUAUUGUGGACGUGCUUUAAUCACCUCGGUGGUUAUUGUCAUCUCCAUGAGCGUGCGUGUCUUCUUAGAGAGAUCGGUGGAUAGCCAAACCACAUGAAAGAGUGCAAUAACAGGUCUGUGAUGCCCUUAGAUGUUCGGGGCCGCACGCGUGCUACACUGAUAGUGAGAGAAAGUCUGAUCCCUGCCUUGAAAAAGUUGGGUAAGCUUUUAAUUGCUGUCGUGUCGGGGAUCGGGGUUUGUGACUAUCCCCCGUGAACUAGGAAUUCCUAGUAAGCAGAAUUCAUCAGAUUCUGCUGAAUGCGUCCCUGCCCUUUGUACACACCGCCCGUCGCUACUACCGAUUGAAUGUUUUAGUGAGGUCAAUGGAUCGGUCCCUUUGGGUGCAAACCUGGAGUGAUUGAGAAGCUGUCAGAACUUGAGCAUUUAGAGGAAGUACAAGUCGUAACAAGGUUUCCGUAGGUGA